rnacentral:rRNA from 1 species
AUUGAACGCUGGCGGCAUGCUUUACACAUGCAAGUCGAACGGCAGCACGGGUGCUUGCACCUGGUGGCGAGUGGCGAACGGGUGAGUAAUGCAUCGGAACGUGCCCAUGAGUGGGGGAUAGCCCGGCGAAAGCCGGAUUAAUACCGCAUACGCCCUUAGGGGGAAAGCGGGGGAUCUUCGGACCUCGCGCUAUUGGAGCGGCCGAUGUCGGAUUAGCUAGUAGGUGAGGUAAAGGCUCACCUAGGCGACGAUCUGUAGCUGGUCUGAGAGGAUGAUCAGCCACACUGGGACUGAGACACGGCCCAGACUCCUACGGGAGGCAGCAGUGGGGAAUUUUGGACAAUGGGCGCAAGCCUGAUCCAGCCAUGCCGCGUGAGUGAAGAAGGCCU